UUGCAAUGCAUGUAUUCUGUCUUUAUUCUACUUAACUUAAACCCUUUGACUCUAGUAUAAUUAUGAAUGUGUAUUUUCUUUUAAAAUAUAUGCUUUACAUGUUAAUGUCCUAAUGAAUACUUAACAAAUUUUUAGUAUUAUUUUUUAAUAUUUGUUGAAUUACUAUAUUAGAAUUAACAUCGACUCUUUAAUACUUAAAAUUAAAUUCAAACUGUAUUAAAAAUAAACAAACUGUAAUAUUUUGAUUUGGUUUAAUUUGAUUUUUAUAUAUAAAUGGUUUGGUUUGGUUUGGUUUCAAAAAAGUAUCAAAUCAUAUUUUUCAGUUUGGUUUGAAAAUACUCUGAACUGCACCAAACCGAGCCAUGCGCUCCAAGUGUU
rnacentral:misc_RNA from 1 species